rnacentral:rRNA from 1 species
UACAGAGGGUGCAAGCGUUAAUCGGAAUUACUGGGCGUAAAGCGCACGUAGGUGGCUGGGUAAGUUGUAUGUGAAAUCCCCGGGCUUAACUUGGGAAUUGCAUUCAAGACUGCCUUGCUAGAGUGUGGAAGAGGGAAGCGGAAUUCCAGGUGUAGCGGUGAAAUGCGUAGAUAUCUGGAGGAACAUCAGUGGCGAAGGCGGCUCACUGGCUCGUAACUGACGCUCAUGCACGACAGCGUGGGGAUCAAACAGG